GCCUCACGUUUUCUGAGCUUCAUGUAUGGUCACGUGACUCUGUGCAUGUGCUGAGGCAGAGCAUCAAGGCAGGGAGCAUAGGAUGAAGCAAAACAACUCAUCUUACAGUGGACAGGAAGCAGAGAGGGCCCUGGGGAGAAGAUAUUCCCAUCUAGGGCAUAUUCCUAAGCAACCUACUUCUUCCAAUCAAGCCCCAACUUUCACUUUCCACCACCUCCCAGUAAUGAGGUUUAUUUCAGCUUACUGUCCAUCAUCUUGGAGAAGUUCAGGCUGCAGGAUCUGCAACAAUUGCUCACAUCACAGCCACAGCCAAGAGUAGAGAGCAAUGGAUUCACGCACGUAUACACUCUAGAUCUCAGCUUGCUUUCUUACCUAUACAGUUCUGGUCCAGCCUAUAAUUAGGAUGGGCUUUCCCACCUUAAUUGACUAACAUACCUAAGGUAAUUCCCCAUAGAUAUUCCCAAAGGCUAACCUAAUCUACACCAAGAUUGCCUUCCCAGGUAGAUUGAGUCAAUUUGACAAUGGAAAUCAACGGCCACAAGAGAUCAUGCUGUAGCGCUCCAUUCUACAUUGCUGGAACCCCAAGUCUUCCAGAUCAUCAAUGCUUCUUUAGAUUUCAGUUCCAAGGGGUGACCUCUUUCCAGGUUGGUGAUCUGGGUGGACCACUGCACCAUUGCAGCCUGAGUUAAUGGAAGACCUGAGUUUGUUGCAGCAGAACAAUUUGGACCUAAGAUUCCAGUGCUAUUGAAGCCACGCUAUCCUAGGAUCCUGAUCUAAAGACAGCAGGUGGGCUAUCAAAGCACUUGUCUUAUUCUAUCAUGUUUGUUGGAAGACGGGGCUCCCUUAAAGGGAAAUACCAUCCAUGGGAUUGGGGCCUGAUUAUGUAUUGAGUGGCUCAGGGUGGUAGAGGUAUUUGUGUGUGUAUUUGGGUGUGCAUGUGCAGACAUGUACUAGUUUAGCAAUAGCGUCUCGAGGGUCUCCUUAAAAGCUACAGGCAGGAGAGAAUGGACUGGCUUAGUGGAGAAUGGCUAAUUAGUAGUUCAUGGUUGAGGAAAGUCAGCUUCAUCUAAGGGUGGCCUGGAUCAAGAAUCUCACCUUCUAAGCCAACCAAACUAGGUGUAGCUAUAAGUAGGCAGAGGCAUGGAGGGAACCAUGUCUAGGUACCAACCUGGAUUGUAUAAUAUAAUGAGUUUGAGGGCAGCCUCAACUGCGCAGAGAUAUUAAAUAAAUAUAGUGUUGUGAUCCAGCAGCAGUGUAGCUGGCAGAAGUGUGUAACCCUAGGCAACUCUCUGUCCCCAUCAUACGCCCCAUGCUCUUCUGAACUGACUCACAGGGAACAUGGUGACAUCACUUGUCUUUAAAUAAGAGAUUUUAUUUUUGUUUUAUGAGUAUGAGUGUCUGUCUACAUGUAUGUCCAUAGUGCAUAUGUGCCUGAUGCCUACAGAUGCCAGAGAGGGUACUGGAUCCCCCAGAACAGGAGUUAGACAGCUAUGAGCUGCCAUGCAGAUGCCUAGAACUGAUCACAGGGCUUCAGCAAGAAUAGCAAGUGCUCUUAACUGCUGAGCCAUCUCUCCAGCCUGACCUUCCACCUUCUUGUCUCUUUUUGGUGACCUCUGGCCCAGUGGCAGAGCUCUGACAGUGGGUGGUGGACUCCACUUUGUGAAUCAGGUAGCACUGUGCACCGGAAGGUAGGGGGCAAGGAAACAGGGAUAGACACUCAAAUAUGGGACCCUUCCAGGUAGCCCCCGACUCUCACAGCCCUUGAGCAGGACGCUUUGGAGAAUCCAAGAAGCAGGGGUUACAGCGAUGCCUUCUCUAAUGGCUACAAAACAACAUUGAGCAAGUAAGCUAUCCAGGGAAAAGAGGAAGCCAGGUCGCCUUGAGGAGUGAGAUGUCUAGCAACAUACUUACCAAAUUCCAUUCUUACCCACUGGCGCCUCAUAGGCUGCCGGUCCUUUCAUUGCUCAUUCAGUGCUGCCUAGAACCAAAGGAAAAUAAAGAGGAGUCUCUUCCAAUGCAAUCUAGAAUACGCUUCCAGCUUGAGUAGAAUACGCUUCCAGCUUGAGGCUGGCUAAAGCGUGCUGUCCAGGUUUGCUCUGGGUUUUCUAGGCUGGGGUGGGUGUUUGAACCAGCGUAGGGCAGUCCUGUUGAAGUGGGUGGUACAAAGGCAGUUGGGAAAAAUUCCGAGUGAAGGGCAUGUUUGUGCUUCGUUCUGAUUCAGCUAGGAGCCAACACACAGCCUCUGAUAACACUUUAGCUGUGUUGAAAUCUUCUCGCAAGGAGAUAUGACACUGUAGUGUAUGAAUUAUCCAUGUGACCGAGGAGUGUGUUUCUUAACUUUCUCUAUUCGAAGCAAACUUAUGUGGGUUUUUUUUCCCCUUCUUGUAAGUCUAGGAAAAAAAUCCUAACCUCUCAGACAGUGACAUUACUGUCACCUGCUUAAAAUAGUAUGACGUUCUUCAAGUCUGAGCAUACUCUCUAGGGCUCUCUGUUUUCCAUGAAAGCAUUUAUUUCAGUCAAAAUACUUCAUGUUUUUCUCCAUUCCGACAUUUCCCCAAAAAGGAGUGGCAAGACGAUAUAGCAACUUAAAACUCCCACGCCAUCGCUAACAGAAUGCUUUCCUCCUCCAUGGAGAAUCCCUCUCUCCUCGGACUAUGUCAGAAGCCCUGGGGGCGGGGCUACCCACGUCUGGGGGGUUUCCAGGUCCUGCCUGUGGAUUGGGCUCUAGGAGAUGGGAGGGUACUGUCAGGGAGAUGGGUGGGGCCCCAAGAAGGUGGGUGGGGUUCCAAGGAUGUGGGUGUGGCUCUAAGGAGGUGGGUAGGGUUCUACAGUCCUGGAUGGCGCACCAAGGAGCUAGGCCGGGGUCCAGGGAGCUGUAUGGUACUCUAAAAGAUGAUAGGGUACAUCAGAUGCUGGGUAGGGCUCAAAGGAGGGCUACAAGGGUGUGCCUAGGACUCUAAGGACCUAGAUGGAGCCCCCAAGGAGGUAAGAGGGUCUCUGAGGAGCUGUGUGAGGCUCAGAGGAGCUGAGAGCAGCGCCUAGGUGCAGGGGCAUAUAUGGAAGGUCUGCAGAGACUGAGACGGACUCCAGGGAGCUGAGUGGGGCCUCGGGAGCAGAGAAGGGUUUCUUAAGGCUGAGAAGUCCACCAAGGAGUUAGGAGGUCCCUACAGCCACUGGUGGGCUCCAGGUGCUAGGAGCGGGCCACACUCCUCCGUGCCCUUGUCUUUGGUUGCCCUCACUGCUCAGUUACACCUGUGCUCCUUUUCUCCCCUGAUUGAGGACAGAGUCAGAUUCCCCUUCCCGCCCCCCUCCUGCCUUCCUUAGCCUCAUGCACUGCUGGCCCUCAUCACCCGCAUGAUGGAACUCUGAAUAUUCGGACGUGGGCUCCCGGGCUGCAGAUGUCAUGUCUUUCGGCCUGUUGUUAGCCAGGAGACAACACGGACUCCCCUGGUUUACCUGUGUAGUCCCAGCGCGUCUCAAGGUGCCGUGAGCGCCGCAUCUCCUGUCAGAUGUGGUUGGCGAGAGAUGAGGACAGCAUGACCACCCGGCCCCCCAGUGCGCAAGGCGCAGGUCAGCUCGCGAGGACAGCGGCGCAGUGGUGAUGUGGCCAUGACUACUUGUCAAGAGAGUAGAAGGAAAAGUUGGAAAGGGGGGUUGGAAGUGGCAGGAGGGGGUGAGGAAGGGGGGCUGCAAGAGAAAGGUCCUGUCAUCCCUGGAUGACAUUCUCACUGUUGCCCGGCCUGUUCCACGGGCUGUGUCCAACCCCCUGGGGAUGGGGGAUGGAUUUCCAAACCAUUUUGCAGGCCCCUCACAGGUGCCUGGAGCAAUUUGAUUGGCAGCGCCCAUCAGACAUCUGCAAUUCAUACCACUCGUUUAAUCAGGGCCAUUGGGAAGUCUGGGCUGGCUUUCUCUUGUGUCUUUACUGCUCAUAAGUGUGCCUGUGUGCACCUGGGGUGGGCGACAUCCCAAUGGAAAAUAACUUCGGCCUGGAGCAGGGCACCUUUGGAAGCCUAUAGGCCUGGGAGACUGCUGUGUCGUAACAAGUUUGUGAGAUUUUGGAAGGGAAACCACAGUAAUGGUGCCAGUUCUUAGGAUCAUAAAUAAUCAUAAUGAACAGGACUGCUGUAUAUUUAUGUUGGUUUGUUUUCAGACACUUUUCAUUUUAUUUUGAAUUUUUUCAUAUUGUGUUGACUUGAAACACUUCUGUCUAUAGCAUGGCGUGCUCUGCAGAACACUGGAGAGCAGCGCAAUUCUGUAUCUGUCCACCGAAACACGCAGCGGCCGGGUGCGGGCAACUUCUAACUGCCUUCAGGGUCCCGGGAUGGCCAGAAUGCUAUUCCCAGAGGGACACAGUGUUUUCCAGUUUCCUUCCUGGAUAAGCUUGGAAGGGGUCACAAUCUUGAGAGACCAAGUCAGGAACUAAGGCAAGAACUGCAUUGCUUCUGACCAAGAAACUCCCAUCACAGCCAAAUAAAUAUACCAGGAACGACAGAAGAUGCUGCUGGCUAGCUGGCUUUCAGGCUAACUUAUACUCAGCUAGUUUUCUUAUACAGGUUUCCAGCACAGAGCAUGGCCCAUACUAGAUUUGGAUUAAAGACCCAGAUUAUAGGUGCGUCUCUUCCUAGCUCAAAAGAUCUGGAUUAAAGGAAGCUGACAAAGCCGGCUGCUAUGGAGGAAUGACUUCAGUUGGUUUGGCCACUGGGAGAGCCCCAAAGGGCCUCAGAGAAAACAGUGGGUAUUCUGUCCUGAGCUGACAUACUGCUUUGGGGGUCCUGUAUUUCAGAGCAUUGGUACUCACAACACAUAUAUCCCUAGCCACUGGGACAUUUUAAGGGGUGUUUCUUUUUGUUCUUCCUCUCUUCUUUCUUCUUUCUUCUUUCUCCUCUUCCUCUUAGUUUUCUUUGACAUAGAUAUAAACAUUGAAACUUUCCUCAGGCUCACAUGUCUCCAGACUCAUUCUUUGUGUUUGUGUGUUGGGAUUACAGGUGUGCACUGCCCUACCCGCCAGGGGUGGGUCUUUUGGAACUACUAUGGUACUUUCUCCCUUCACCAAGUCCUUACUCACUCAUAUAGCUCCUUCCAAAUACCGUUUAUUUCCUACCCUUGCACCGUAUAGCCAUUUCCCUAAGUAGGGUACCUGCU